AAAUAAAGACCUAUUUGAAAACUACUGCCCCCCUCCCCCUUUCAAAGUUAUGUUCCAUUGACUUCUCCUCAGUGAUGGGAGAUUUUAUUGAUUGCAACUGGUGCACAGUGAUUUGUUUACACUCAAUCUAUAAGUGAGUAGUUUCAGGAAUAUGGCCGACUUUGUAGUCCUAUUGGGAAUUAGCUCGAAGUUCUUUGCCAUCUCACUGUAAGCGACAGCCUUGAAAGAAAUAGUACGGAAAUACUAUAGAGAGAGUAUUCUGUAGCCGCACACAUAAGCCCUCAAUUUCAUAUGCGUGUAGUCUGUCAGCUAACUCAUCUAGAUCAUAAGUCUAUACGAAUAUAAUGAUGACCUUGCUUCAAGUCACCUGGUGACAACUACAGGAGCAUGCUGUCUUAUCCAAUGUUCUUCUCAUUGCUAGUAAUUCUAUUUAUAGGCCAACCAUGUGAACUGCUGCAUUGCUAUGAAUGUCAAGACGCAUUCACUACACUAUGGCUGCCACAGACUUGCCAGUUCAAUGCUACGGGGGCACCGGUCAGAGAAUGUAACGAUCAACAAAGCUUCUGCUUCGUGACCAAAGUGACGGUGGUCAAGCGAGUCACGAACAUACAGAGAGGAUGUACGGACGACUGUGAAUAUGGCUGUCAAAUGUCAGACUUCGGGUUAACGUCUUUGACCUGUACAACAUGCUGUACCACAGAACUUUGUAACACUGGUGACGGUGCGGACCAGAUCAAACAAUAUUCAGGUCUUCUGCUGAUCAGUGUCAUGUGGAGCAUUCUGUUGUUCAGGGACACUUAUGUAUAGAAUGCGUAGCUUCAUUGAGGAUUUUAACACCAAAAGUUAAUCAGAGUAAUCUGUUCUUGGUUACAUUUUGAUUUGUUUCAGAUCCUGUGUACGGUUUUUAAUCGAGCAAUAAAAUUCAGGAGGAGAGAAAAGAAAAAAGAAAGCGAUAUGAAAAAUGCAGGAACCAUGGUAGAAACUAAAGAAAAGAUUGUAAAAAAUUAUGAAAAGAUGAAAAUUGGGAGAGAUUUGGAAUUAAAUAGAGAAAAAAUAAUGCCAAAAGUCGCCAAUUCAAAAGGUCACUGUUGCCAACAGGUCCGGCCUUAGGCCACUGCAACCUAUGCAGCCGCAGUGGGCCCCGCACUGUAAUAGGCCCGCGUUAAUUGUAGGUGUACAUUAUUAAAUUAAACCAUUAUAACGUAUAACACGGUUCCCGCGGCAUCCUUAUUUUCCAGGAACUGCUGGAAAUCUCCUGAAAUUAUUAAAAUCUCCUGAAAUUAUUAAAAUCUCCUGAAAUUAUUAAAAUCUCCUGAAAUUAUUAAAAUCUCCUGAAAUUAUUAAAAUCUCCUGAAAUUAUUAAAAUCUCCUGAAAUUAUUAAAAUCUCCUGAAAUUAUUAAAAUCUCCUGAAAUUAUUAAAAUCUCCUGAAAUUAUUAAAAUCUCCUGAAAUUAUUAAAAUCUCCUGAAAUUAUUAAAAUCUCCUGAAAUUAUUAAAAUCUCCUGAAAUUAUUAAAAUCUCCUGAAAACUCAUUAAAUCUCCUGAAAUUAUUAAAAUCUCCUGAAAACUCAUUAAAUCUCCUGAAAUUAUUAAAAUCUCCUGAAAACUCAUUAAAUCUCCUGAAAAAAAAAAAACUUUUUCAUUUUGGGGUGUCAUUCAAUAUGGAAAACGCCAUUCCCACGCGCAAUUGAAAAAAGACGGCAUUGUCAACUUUCAUUUUACAAAAAAUAUAAAUCAAAGACGAAUUUAUUUUCUACUACAAAAUCUUAAUUUUCACUUAUUAUCCUUAUGUCUACACAGGCUAGGUCCCGCUCUAUCCGUUUCGCAUAGGGACCCGCAAUUGUUAGGGCCGGCAAUAGUUGCCAACUACACUUUGUUGUCUUUUGAAAAAAACAAAAUAUUAUAUGGUUUACUAAAAUAAUACGCUUAUUAAUUUUUCUGUGUUCUGUAAUUCGGAUACACCAAAUGACUUUAAGGAUUUUCCUCCAUGUAUGAAAAAACUCCAAUAGGACAAAUAUUCAUUCGUUUUGUAAUUCUUUCUCUUUAUUUCUAAGAACUAUCAUUUCAUGUAUUUUUGUUUGUCCUCAUUAGAAAAAAUGUUGACUCUAACCACUUAACACGUGUCUACUAACAGUACCAAUUAAAACACAAUAAACCAUUGAAUGUC